ACGGAGGGUGCAAGCGUUAAUCGGAAUUACUGGGCGUAAAGCGCACGCAGGCGGUUUGUUAAGUCAGAUGUGAAAUCCCCGGGCUCAACCUGGGAACUGCAUCUGAUACUGGCAAGCUUGAGUCUCGUAGAGGGGGGUAGAAUUCCAGGUGUAGCGGUGAAAUGCGUAGAGAUCUGGAGGAAUACCGGUGGCGAAGGCGGCCCCCUGGACGAAGACUGACGCUCAGGUGCGAAAGCGUGGGGAGCAAACAGGAUUAGAUACCCUGGUAGUCCACGCCGUAAACGAU
rnacentral:rRNA from 1 species